rnacentral:rRNA from 1 species
UCAGAUUGAACGCUGGCGGCAGGCCUAACACAUGCAAGUCGAGCGGGUUUCGGACCUAGCGGCGGACGGGUGAGUAAUGCGUAGGAAGCUACCCGAUAGAGGGGGAUACCAGUUGGAAACGACUGUUAAUACCGCAUAAUGUCUACGGACCAAAGUGUGGGACCUUCGGGCCACAUGCUAUCGGAUGCGCCUACGUGGGAUUAGCUAGUUGGUGGGGUAAUGGCUCACCAAGGCGACGAUCCCUAGCUGGUUUGAGAGGAUGAUCAGCCACACUGGAACUGAGACACGGUCCAGACUCCUACGGGAGGGCAGCAGUGGGGAAUAUUGGACAAUGGGCGCAAGCCUGAUCCAGCCAUGCCGCGUGUGUGAAGAAGGCCUUCGGGUUGUAAAGCACUUUCAGCGAGGAGGAAGGGUUAGUAGUUAAUAGCUGCUAAUUUUGACGUUACUCGCAGAAGAAGCACCGGCUAACUCUGUG